CUCCCUCCGCAGGCUGGCCGGCCCCCAGACUGGACUGGGCCAGUAUCUCUGCAAAAGGCUCACCUUCAAGCACAACUAGGAGC
rnacentral:pre_miRNA from 1 species